CCUGGCGGCACUAGCGCGGUGGUCCCACCUGAGCCCAUGCCGAACUCAGAAGUGAAACGCCGUAGCGCCGAUGGUAGUGUGGGGUCUCCCCAUGCGAGAGUAGGGAACUGCCAGGC
rnacentral:rRNA from 3 species